rnacentral:rRNA from 1 species
CGGGGUGCAGCAGGCGCGAAAACUUUACAAUGCUGGCAACAGCGAUAAGGGGACCUCGAGUGCCAGGAUACAAUCUUGGCUGUCGCGACGCCUAAAAAGCAUUGCAUAGCAAGGGCCGGGCAAGACCGGUGCCAGCCGCCGCGGUAACACCGGCGGCUCGAGUGGUAACCGCUAUUAUUGGGUCUAAAGGGUCUGUAGCCGGCCGGAUAAGUCUUUUGGGAAAUCCAGCUGCUCAACAGUUGGGCUUUCAGAAGAUACUGUUCGGCUCGAGACCGGGAGAGGUGAGAGGUACUUCAGGGGUAGGGGUGAAAUCUUGUAAUCCUUGAAGGACCACCAGUGGCGAAGGCGUCUCACCAGAACGGAUCUGACGGCAAGGGACGAAAGCUAGGGGCACGAACCGGAUUAGAUACCCGGGUAGUCCUAGCCGUAAACGAUACUCGCUAGGUGUCAGCCACGGUGCGACCGUGGUUGGUGCCGUAGGGAAGCCGUGAAGCGAGCCACCUGGGAAGUACGGCCGCAAGGCUGAAACUUAAAGGAAUUGGCGGGGGAGCAC